UACAGGGGGUGCAAACGUUGCUCGGAAUCAUUGGGCGUAAAGCGCACGUAGGCGGUCUGUUAUGUCGGAUGUGAAAGCCCUUGGCUCAACUGAGGAAGUGCAUCCGAAACUGGCAGGCUAGAGUACUAAAGAGGAUCGCGGAAUUCCCGGUGUAGAGGUGAAAUUCGUAGAUAUCGGGAGGAACACCGGUGGCGAAGGCGGCACCCUGGACCGGCAUUGACGCUGAGGCGCGAAAGCUAGGGGAGCAAACGGG
rnacentral:rRNA from 1 species